rnacentral:rRNA from 1 species
GUGACCUGCGGAGGAUCA